UACGUAGGGAGCAAGCGUUGUCCGGAUUCAUUGGGCGUAAAGAGCUCGUAGGCGGCUUAGUAAGUCAGAUGUGAAAACUCCAGGCUCAACCUGGAGACGCCAUUUGAUACUGCUAUGGCUUGAGUUCGGUAGGGGACCAUGGAAUUCCUGGUGUAGCGGUGGAAUGCGUAGAGAUCGGGAAGAACAUCAGUGGCGAAGGCGGUCUGCUGGGCCGUUGCUGACGCUGAGGCGCGACAGCGUGGGGAGCAAACAGG
rnacentral:rRNA from 1 species